rnacentral:lncRNA from 1 species
UCCGACGCGGGCGUCCUGGAGAGCGCGCCCCAUUGUGCGGGGCCGGCGGGGAGGAGAACCACUUCCAAGAAGAUGAGCAGUUUCUGGGAGCCGUUAUGCCAAGGCUUGGCAUUGGAAUGGAUACUUGUGUCAUUCCUUUGAGGCACGGUGGGCUUUCCUUGGUUCAAACCACAGAUUACAUUUACCCGAUCGUAGACGACC